rnacentral:rRNA from 1 species
GAUGAACGCUGGCGGCGUGCCUAACACAUGCAAGUCGAACGGACUUAAACCGAAACCUAGUGAAGUUUAAGUUAGUGGCGGACGGGUGAGUAACGCGUGGACAACCUGCCGUAUGCAGGGGGAUAACAGCCGGAAACGGCUGCUAAUACCGCAUAAGCGCACAGUACCGCAUGGGACGGUGUGAAAAGAUUUAUCGGCAUACGAUGGAUCCGCGUCCGAUUAGCCAGUUGGCGGGGCAACGGCCCACCAAAGCGACGAUCGGUAGCCGGCCUGAGAGGGCGGACGGCCACAUUGGGACUGAGACACGGCCCAA